GAAGGUGCUGGGAUUCCUGUCCCUGUUCCCCUGCACUGAGCUUUGCCUCCCACUGUGCCUAGGAGGUGGGUGGUAAAUGAGAAGACCCUGCCCUCCUCCGUCUGCUGGGAGGGACACGGCGCUCUCCCCGCUCUGUUCCCUGCAGCCUCCUGGCCACUCUGAGCAGGGUGGGGUGGGAUUCGGCUCCUCUGCUCUCCCAGACCUGUCCUAGGUUUGUGCUUCUUCCCCCAUGAAUAGUGGGGUUGUGACUGGGGCAGCAGGCACUGAGUGGGGGGCACCUGUUGUUUCAGAUGCCGGUGACCUUUGCGGAGGUGGCUGUGUAGUUCACCGCGGGGCGGGGGGCUCUGCUGGACCCCACUCAGAGAGCCCUCUACAGGGACAUCAUGCAGGAGAACGAUGAGCCUGUGACCUCGCUGGGUAAGGAUUCCUGUCCCCUCAGGACUCCGCAUUCCCAAACCUGACCUGAUCGCCCGGCUGGAAGCAGGGGAAGAGCCGUGGGUCCCGGAUCUCCAGGCCAAAGCAACAUCCCAAGAGGCACCUGCACAGCAGAUGGUGAGACAAUGAGUGAGAACGAGGAGGGGAAUCCACAGCAGCAAGGUCUUGGGAAAGUGGAACUACAGGAGACAUUUAUGAGAAGGGAAUUUUUCCCAGUGCUU